AGAUGAGUGGAAGGACCGGAAUGGGUGGAGAGAGCGGAAGUGGGGGCCCGGUCAGCCGCGGGAUUUGAAGCCGAAAGGCAGGAUUUAGGCUCAGAAUGGCCGAAGUGGCGGGGCUCGGACUUGGGCGAUGGGAGUAGAGCAGGGUCCACGCAAGCGGCGUCAAUGAAAACCUAUCAAAAGGGUGAGUCCUUCGAGCCGGAUUCGAACCAGCGACCUAAGGAUGACCACAGUGAAACAUCUACAGUCCUCCGCUCUACCAACUGAGCUAUCGAAGGAUUGGUGUUAGAGAUGGUUAGAAUACCUCUAAUAAUGUUUAUCCCCGUGGUUUUAAUCAUCUUAAGAAUUACAAGCAAAUGCUUUUUCUAGGAUGCUAGAAAUGUUCUAAAACUGGUAAGAGUGAUAAUCAUAGAGGUAUAUUGAAAAAUUAAUACCCUUGAACACUUAAGUUUUGUGUGUUACUUUCUGAUUUAGAUCUUU